GGGCCAAGGCCCGCAAACCUGGUUCUAUCGUUAAACGAAGACCAGUCUCACUUACGCUUACUUGGGAUAGAGGCAAGCCACAAGAUCCUUGGCCAGGCUGGAUACAGCUCUAGUGGGAGUGAAGAGAGUGACGACUUCAGAGGAUUUGAAGCUGACAGAAAAAAAGGAUCUGUAUUGUCUCAACAGAAUUCUUCCAAAGGUGAUGCUGUCCACACAAAAUCUAAACGACACAGCGAGAAGCUACCGCUUAAAACCGCAGCAAUGGAGGCAGCUAUC